GAUGAACGCUGGCGGCGUGCCUAAUACAUGCAAGUCGAGCGAGCAGAUGAGGAGCUUGCUCCUCUGACGUUAGCGGCGGACGGGUGAGUAACACGUGGAUAACCUACCUAUAAGACUGGGAUAACUUCGGGAAACCGGAGCUAAUACCGGAUAAUAUAUUGAACCGCAUGGUUCAAUAGUGAAAGACGGUUUUGCUGUCACUUAUAGAUGGAUCCGCGCCGCAUUAGCUAGUUGGUAAGGUAACGGCUUACCAAGGCAACGAUGCGUAGCCGACCUGAGAGGGUGAUCGGCCACACUGGAACUGAGACACGGUCCAGACUCCUACGGGAGGCAGCAGUAGGGAAUCUUCCGCAAUGGGCGAAAGCCUGACGGAGCAACGCCGCGUGAGUGAUGAAGGUCUUCGGAUCGUAAAACUCUGUUAUUAGGGAAGAACAAAUGUGUAAGUAACUAGGCACGUCUUGACGGUACCUAAUCAGAAAGCCACGGCUAACUACG
rnacentral:rRNA from 1 species